rnacentral:rRNA from 1 species
UACGUAGGGUGCGAGCGUUGUCCGGAAUUACUGGGCGUAAAGAGCUCGUAGGUGGUUUGUCGCGUUGUUCGUGAAAACUCACAGCUCAACUGUGGGCGUGCGGGCGAUACGGGCAGACUGGAGUACUGCAGGGGAGACUGGAAUUCCUGGUGUAGCGGUGAAAUGCGCAGAUAUCAGGAGGAACACCGGUGGCGAAGGCGGAUCUCUGGGCCAUUACUGACGCUGAGGAGCGAAAGCGUGGGGAGCGAACAGG